AUUGAACGCUGGCGGCAGGCUUAACACAUGCAAGUCGAGCGAGCGGCGGACGGGUGAGUAAUGUCUGGGAAACUGCCUGAUGGAGGGGGAUACCUACUGGAAACGGUAGCUAAUACCGCAUACCAUCAGAUGUGCCCAUAUGGGAUUAGCUAGUAGGUGGGGUAAAGGCUCACCUAGGCGACGAUCUCUAGCUGGUCUGAGAGGAUGAUCAGCCAAACUGGGACGGAGACACGGCCCAGACGCCUACGGGAGGCAGCAGUGGGGAAUAUUGCAAAAUGGGAGAAAGCCUGAUGCAGCAAUGCCGCGUGUAUGAAGAAGGCCUUAGGGUGGUAAAGUACUGUCAGCGGGGAGGCGGUACCGACAGAGGAAGCACCGGCUAACUCCGUGCCAGCAGCCGCGGUAAUAC
rnacentral:rRNA from 1 species